UAAGAGGUCCUGCCUGCCCUGUGACUUAACGUUUAACGGCCGCGGUAUUUUGACCGUGCGAAGGUAGCGCAAUCACUUGUCUCUUAAAUGGGGACCUGUAUGAAUGGCAUAACGAGGGUUUAACUGUCUCCUUUCCUAAGUUAAUGAAAUUGAUCCCCCCGUGCAGAAGCGGGGAUAAAAACAUAAGACGAGAAGACCCUAUGGAGCUUUAGGCAACAAGCAGAUCACACCAAAUAACCCUAAUAAAGGAAAAAACAUACUGAGCCCUGUCCUAAUGCCUUUGGUUGGGGCGACCGCGGGGAAACAAAAAACCCCCAUGUGGAAUAGGACCACGUCCUCCAAAAAAGAGCCCCCGCUCUAAAAAACAGAACAUCUGACCUUUAAGAUCCGGUUGCCGAUCAGCGGACCGAGUUACCCUAGGGAUAACAGCGCAAUCCCCUUAUAGAGCCCAUAUCGACAAGGGGGUUUACGACCUCGAUGUUGGAUCAGGAUAUCCUAAUGGUGCAGCCGCUAUUAAGGGUUCGUU
rnacentral:rRNA from 1 species